rnacentral:rRNA from 1 species
CUUGAACGCUGGCGGCAGGCCUAACACAUGCUAGUCGAACGAGUGGCGGACGGGUGAGUAACGUCUGGGAAACUGCCUGAUGGAGGGGGAUAACUACUGGAAACGGUAGCUAAUACCGCAUACCAUCAGCUGUGCCCAGAUCGGAUUAGCUAGUAGGUGGGGUAACGGCUCACCAAGGCGACGAUCCCUAGCUGGUCUGAGAGGAUGACCGGGCACAGUGGAACUGAGACACGGGCUAGACUCCGCCGGAAGGCACCAGUAGGGAAUAUUUAACAAUAGGAGCAAGCCUGUUGCAGCCAUGCCGCUUAGAUGAAGCAGGCCUUGGGGUUGUACAGGUCUUUCAGCCGGUAGGCGUUACCCGCAGAAGAAGCACCGGCAAGCUCCGUGCCAGCAGCCGCGGUAAUAC